AGUGACCACCUAGGAGCACCAGCAAGCUCCGCUAUCUAGCUAUGCGACUUCCUUGCCGCGAUCCCGUGCCUCCGCUGGUGCCGAAGUCUCUGAAAUAAAACCAUAAAACAGGAGGCGUGAGAACUAUUGAAUAAUAGUUCCCACUGGGCAAUUACUGGCUUCAGUGAAAUGCACCACUAGGCCCAAACUAAAAAAGGGUCAGUAAGCAGAUAUAAACAAAAACGAUAUGUACGACAAGUAAAUAAGUAUGAAUAUUUGCUACGACACACUUAGCAUGAUUUAGCAAAAGUAAGAAAAGCUAUUCUCAUAAGAAUGUACCCAAGCAUCGCUAGUAUGAUGUCCAUAAGUCAAAUAGUAAAGAUGUCAUUGUUUACUAUUCUAAUCAAUGUCCACAUGGCAUGAUGAAUGCUCAAAAUCAAAUCUGAAAAGACCUGCCCGAAGGUUGUCUGGCCCUGAGACCCACCCGUAGGCUGUCUGGCCGGUGCCGAACCUAAUGGCCCCGUAGUAGUCAACAUCCCCACUCUAGGAAUGAGCAUUUCCCAUGGCAAUCCACUUCGGCGCCCAAUCCCACACGGCGAAUAUGUAUCGCGAUGGCCAUCUCCGGAGUGCCGGCUUGUAGGGAGCGACCCUCACAAGCAUGUGCGAAUGAGCACAAUGGCAAGUAACCAAAAGAUCCGUCUCAAGUACCAAGUCCUCAUGUCUAACAACAUGGAAUACGUCACAACUCUCUCAUAGGCCUAUCUCUAUGUCAUCAUGUCUAAUACACGGAAGGUAGUAGAUGUCCAUGGCCUAUCACUAUGUCACGCCCCGGGACCCAGCGGAAGCCCGCCCGGCGCGUGCCCAGACCCGCCAUAUGUCUACAACAUAUAAGGCGUCUAAAAACAACAAUAAUAAAGCCAUAAUAAUAGACAUCUAGGUGUAUCAGAGCGUAAUAAAUGUCUGAAUGCUACAACAAGAAAUAAGGAUGAAGCUGUAAAUUCGCUAAAUAAGACAUAAAGUAAAUACAAUAGGAAAUCCCAAGUACAAGUGCUAUAGGUAGGUACAUAGGUGGUCUCUAUACACGGAUACAAAAAUCUCACACUCUCUCAAAAAAACAAAAGAAAGAGUAACCACCUAGGCAAAAGUAUCGCUCCUCGCUAGCUAGCUAAGCGAUCCCCUUGCCGCGAUCCCGUGCCUCCGCCGGUGCCGAAGGCUCUGAAAAGUAAACCAUAAAACAGGGGCGUGAGAACUAUUAAAAAUAGUUCCCAGUGGGCAAUUACUGACUUCAGUGAAUGCACCACAAGGCCCAAAGCUACAAAAAGAGGUCAGUGACUAACAAUGUAGUAAAGCGACAGGUAAGUAAAAUGUAACUCACUAUAACAUAGAAUUUCUACUUAGUAUAAUUUGCACAA
rnacentral:lncRNA from 1 species